rnacentral:lncRNA from 1 species
UCAUAACCUUUGGUCUUAGCAUGCAUACUUAGACUUUCCAUUGAUGAGCAAAGUGUGUGCCUGCUCUUACAGAAAUGACUGUAUUUACUCUCUUGGUUGCUUGACCAAGAUUGGUUCUACGACCAAUGACAGUCAACCAUCACCAGGUUUGGGACAGAUUGCUUCUUUUGUCCCGUCAGAAGGUUUGGUGGUUAUGGGAACUCCACUUCCCACCCAUCCCCACCCCCUCUCACUGAACUUACAACACUAAGCUGGAACACUCCAGGGGAAAGACUCGAGACAUUUCUGGUCUUGCCAAGUUCCCAUGAGGGCCAGCCCAUGUGGAUGAAACACCCUCAGGUGCAUUGGCACAGGCAGUUGUGUUCCAGGUCAGCUGAGGUUUCUUUGAAAGUGUAGAUGUGGGUGGUAGGUACAUGGAAGCACUCUUAAGCUAUGGGAGCUCUGUGCCUGGAAUCCAUGACAGGGCUAUGGGGGAACUGUGACAUUUGCAUUUCCUCAAAUUUCGCCCUGUUCAGGAGGAUUCAGCAGAAGUCACUGGCUCUACUAAGUGAAGUACACAAAUGCUAAUCAUGUCCUCCCAUACCAGCCUAUUUCAGGGAGGCUCACAUUGUGUAUGUGUGUGUGCACGCGCGUGUGCUCACGCAGUCAUGUUUGCAUUUGAGGUGCAUAUGGACUUGUGUGUCAUUCCUCGGUCCCUUCCAUUUUUUUUUUUUAUUUGAGACAGCAUCUCUCAUGGGCCUGAACUUCAGUGUAUGCUAGGCUAGCUUGCCAGUGAUCUCCAAGCAAUGAGAUCACAAGUGUGCACCAUUGCACCUGGCCUCUUACUUGAGACCCAAACUCAGGCCCUUACCUUUGCAAGGCAAGUGAUUUCCUGACAGCAUCACCUGCCCAGACCAGAGGCUUAUACCGCUAUGCAAUCAUCAGUCACCUAGAAACUGUAUUACAUGGAAAACCCUGUCUAGUAGAUCUGGAUUACCUUGAGCUUCUGUAGCUGUCAUGAGACCCCAGUAGCACUGAUACUGGUUGUUGUAGCCACAUUCUGAACAGCAAGACCCCAGGGGCAAAGAACAGGGCACAGUGACAUUAACAUAGGAUGAGCUAAUGAUGAAGAAGAACUCAUCACUCUUAAAAGACCGACUCACCAACAGGAGCCAUCCACAGGGAUUCAUGGUGAAUCAGAGGGGAGGGGGGUGAACUUGGGGAGAGGCCCGGGCCAGGCCUUAGAGAUGAGAAGCAGGUAAGAAGGAAAGAGAGCAAAGGCUGUGUCUCGGGCAGAAUCCAGGGCCUGGGUAAAGAGAGAACACACACAACCUGAACAUAUUUCCUAUGGGAGCAGAUACCUGACAAAUCACCCACUCAUCCCCAAGACCCCAGCAAAAGAACAAUAAUAAUAAUGAUAAAUCAUAGGGAAGUAUAAUGCAUUCCUAUGGCAAUGAAGUAACCACUCCCAUUUGAAGGCACUGGGCUUUCUUUCUGCUGUGAAAUGUAAUUAGAGAGUAGGAGACUGGAGUGUGGGAUGCUCUAGGAUGAGGGCGUUGGGAGCCAGAUGAAGCCAUGAAAAGCCCCAUGCUGUCAUGUUGGCUUUUCUUAGAGCCUGGCCUUCUGUUUCUUACCCAUUGACCAGAAUGGGGUUCGGGUUUCUGCUUCCCCCGAUGUAUUUUCUCUCCUCAAUGAGAGAAAAUGAGCCCAGUCAGCUGGUCAAUCCCCCCCUCAGCUUUCUUCCUUUCCUUGGAUUGCUUUAUCCCAUCCUGUUGUUCUUUCCACCCAGAGAUGAGAUUCUAACCAGUAGAAAGACCUAGAACGGCCUUCUUGUAAGUAUUGUCUUACUGAGAAAUCAACCUAGCUCUCACCCUCUGCCCAUCCUAGUAAGCUUCUCAAGCAGGUGCUUACAUUUGAUUCCCAUUUGAAAAUGGAACAACUGAGGCCCAGAGGACUUCAUCAAGUCUGUUGACACAGUGUGUAGACUCCACACAUUAGUAGAAAGUGACCAGCAGCAGGUCCAGCCAUAGGCUUCAACCCAAAGAGGACACAGAGGCCCGAUAGGUAGAACAAAUUCCUGAGGCCAGUCCAUUUGAAACUGGGAGUGCAAACCCAGUGUGAGUGAUCUCAGAGUCCUUGUCUGCCCUUCUGCUUCGCUUCUCAUAUAGCCUGUUUUCUCAUUUGUGAAGCACAGGUGAGUAUCUGUGAUCUGCCAAACCUCCUCUGAGCUCUGAUAGCCUGGGACGCUGCCACUUUGCCCCAGAAACCAAAGUACUUUGCUUCUAGCAUCUAGUCAGUGCUCAGCGCUGGGUUUAAUGAUGUCGAACCCUAUUGCACUGUAGCUGUCACUGUCCUUUCACAAGACUUUGGUUUGUUCCACCACAGUGGGGUGGGUUGAGGGAGAGCACCUAUUUGCAAUCCUGCAGGGCAUGUGCACAGCCAGAUGGACUGGGUAACUUAGCUACAGGCUACAAUAGCUUAUCUUGAUACCAGUUCCUCUAUUUAUACAGGAAUAAAACUGGCAUCCCUUCAACACCAGAUCCCUAGACACUGAUAUCGGUAACCUUUGGCUGAAUGUGUGUUUCUGGUCCUGUGUCAAAGCCUGGAACCUUGGGCAGAGGAGAUUGGAAGGUGAAAAGCACAGAUUCGUGUAUGAAAUGUUGGAAUUGUCUGUGGGGCAGGGUUUCAGGACCGACGCAGCACCAACAUCUGAGGAUGCUCAGAUCUCUUGUGUCAGUUUUAAUGAUAUAAAACUUAUUCACAUAGCCUUAAUAAUUUAAGUUGUCUGUAAGAUUACUUACAAUGCUUCAUGUAACGCAAAUGCUAUCUAAAUAGCUGCUAUACCGUGUUGGCUUAGGGAAUGAUAACGAGAUAAAAUGUCUGUACAUGUUCACUGCAUACACAAUAUUUUAAAUAGUGCCGUGGCUCCUUAGAUGUGGAUCCUACAUGUUUGGAGGCUGCUGUAUUUUCUUCUGGGCUGCAUGACCUGAGAUAAGUUUCUUCUCUAUAUUAGCUUCCCCUUUGGAAUAUUUCCCUCUGUGGCCUCGAUGCCUACUCCUUGUUACUCUUCAAGCUUCAGAAAGUACCGUGUGACCUCAGAUACCUUCUGGAACAUCACGUGUCCAUGACAUCACAUGUCUAUGACAUUAUGUGUCUGCAUCCAUGCUUUGCUCAGUUGUCUCUCAGUUUCUUCUGCUGGUGUUCCUUUCCUACAGUAAUGAUAGUGUCUCAGUGUUUCUCUGGCUGGCCCAUCAAAAUUUGCAAUCCCCUCAAAGGCUCUCACCAUGUAUCAUUCCUUCCCCUAAAAAUGUUUCUCAAAGAAUGGAUGACCAGAUCAAGCCAUGAUGGAGCUGCAUUUACAUUGUCUUCUAGCUUCCUGCCUGUAAGUUGGGAGGAAAAUUGUCUUCAUCUUUCUCAUGUUCUCUGUGCCUCCUCUUCCUUUUUCUUUUUUGUGGACUUGCUCAGAGCUUAUGCACAUGCCCAGUGGCACUUUGGGUCUAAUCUGUACCCAAAACACAUCCCCGUCCCCUUCUUUGUCUGUAUUCCCACAUUCCUAGACUAAGCCAGGUUCUUCCUGGGGAAACCACAUCUAGAAUGCUGAUUGUCCAAGAAGUGCCUUCUGGCUGAAAAAAAAGCCAGUACUUUCUUUCCUGUCCUAUUUGAAGUAAAAAGUAGUUUCCAGGAUCUGUAGUCUUUAAACUUAGCCCUUAGAUCAUCCAAUUUUACAUAGAUGUUCAAACCUGCAUCAGGGACUUUUCUAAACUCAGUUUUGUCCUGUUAUUGUGACAACUAAAUACUUUUCUACAAGAAAGAAAGAAAGAAAGAAAGAGAGAGAGAGAGAGAUAGGGAAGGAAGGAAGAACGAAAGAACGAACGAAAGAACGAACGAACGAAAGAACG